AAGUGCUCAACUAUUGGUAGUCCUUGCAGCUAAAAACACUAUAUAUUAUUACCUCCCCUUCCUUCUACAGAUCCAUUAAUCCCUGCGAAAAUCCGAUCUUUUCGGUGUCCCAAAUCUCGCCUUCUUUAAUUUUAUCAAACCCAACUGUUCUGAUACUUUCCCGGGAAAAUUUUUCCUGCUCUGGAAAGCUUAAAGUUUCUAUCUUUCACUGUUUUUUUAAUGGUUGGAUCAUAGCGGCAGAGUUUGUUUUCUCUUUUUGAUUUGUUUAAGAGAAAAUAACAAUGGCUGGUAUAGCUAUAGUAUUAGAUCUGUUGAGGAAAAAUCCCAACUUCUAUUCAUCCCAGUUCUCUGCCUCCGCGGCCGUCUCUGCUGCUGCCGUCUCUGUCGCAGCUGCCGGCACACCCUUUGCUUCUAGGUUCUUGUUCGGUUAUUCUGGGAUACAAGUUACUUAUUGUGAUGCUGGUGCAGUAUUGUCUGAUGAUUACAUUUCUAAUAUACGAAAAGCAUCAGGAGAUAUUUUUCGGCAUGAUUCUCUGAAAUACUCUACCAAGGAGUACUAUUUUGAGUUAAAACCUCUCUUGUCAGCUUUUGCAUUGAAGCAACUAGCCAUUACAUCCUUAAGGUAGUUUUUGCUGUUCUAUUUGCCUCUUCUGCAGCCUGCUUCAAAUACAGAAGAGGACGAUGAAGACUUUCUGCAGGAUGCUCCAGAAGUGCACCAUGCAGAUUUGGUUGUUCCCUUCCAAAAAUCAGUGAAGCAAAUUGUUCGUGAGACUACUGUUGUUACCACAAGACGGAUUCUUGAAAGGCUUGCUGUGCAUUAUGUUUCACAGCGGUUGGCUUGGAAACUUCUAAAAGAUGUUCCUAAAUAGGCUGUACGCAAAGCUGAAAGAGGGAUGCCUACUAUUCUCUAUAUUUUCAGAGUUAGCAGGACAACUUUUAGAGGACAUUUUUUAGGAGUUGCUGCAGCAUGGAUUGUACAAGUUGGUAUUGAAAUUUACCGAUUCUUUAAUCAUCUAGUGAAGUCUGAAGAAGAAAACAAUAAGGUUGAUAAAUCAGAACAAGUUAUAAUUCUCAGGAAGAAGGUUACUGGUGUUACUCUCAGCUGUAGUGCAUCACUAGUUUUUGCUUCCAUUGGGGCAGGAAUUGGCGCAACCCUAAUUCGUCCUUCAACUGGCCAGUGGAUUGGCUGUGCAGCUGGGGAUUUGGCGGGGCCAAUUGUUGUUUCACUGUGCCUUGAAAAAGUUUUUCAUGCUGAACUCUAAAGCAGUGGCAAUAUAUUAUCUGAAGUACUUCUUGCACCUGCUUGCGUCUAACUUGAUUAACAAUUUUUUUGGUAUUUGAUUGUAUAAUUCUGCAUAAUUAAUAUCGCAAUUUUGGGAGCUGUAGGUUAAAAAGGAAAGAACUACGUAAGCUAGAUAAAUACCAGGUUUUGUAGCAGACGUAGUUUUCUAAAUUGUUGGUUAGAAUUAUCCCUCAA